UUAGAGUCUCCUGAAGGAACGUUGAAGACGACGACGUUGAUAGGCCGGGUGUGUAAGCGCAGCGAUGCGUUGAGCUAACCGGUACUAAUGAACCGUGAGGCUUAACCUUACAACGCCGAAGCUGUU
rnacentral:rRNA from 1 species